GACGAACGCUGGCGGCGUGCUUAACACAUGCAAGUCGAACGGAAAGGCCCUGCUUUUGUGGGGUGCUCGAGUGGCGAACGGGUGAGUAACACGUGAGUAACCUGCCCUUGACUUUGGGAUAACUUCAGGAAACUGGGGCUCAUACCGGAUAGGAGCUCCUGCUGCAUGGUGGGGGUUGGAAAGUUUCGGCGGUUGGGGAUGGACUCGCGGCUUAUCAGCUUGUUGGUGGGGUAGUGGCUUACCAAGGCUUUGACGGGUAGCCGGCCUGAGAGGGUGACCGGCCACAUUGGGACAGAGAUGGGGCCCAGACUCCUACGGGAGGCAGCAGUGGGGAAUAUUGCACAAUGGGCGGAAGCCUGAUGCAGCAACGCCGCGUGCGGGAUGACGGCCUUCGGGUUGUAAACCGCUUUCGCCUGUGACGAAGCGUGAGUGACGGUAAUGGGUAAAGAAGCACCGGCUAACUACGUG
rnacentral:rRNA from 1 species